rnacentral:Y_RNA from 1 species
GGUUGGUCCAAGUGCAGUGGUGUUAACAACUAAUUGAUGACCACCAGUUAUACAUUUCUUUGUUCCUUUUCCACUCCCACUACUUCACUUGACCAGACUCAA